AUUGAACGCUGGCGGCAGGCCUAACACAUGCAAGUCGAACGAGUGGCGGACGGGUGAGUAAUGUCUGGGAAACUGCCAGAUGGAGGGGGAUAACUACUGGAAACGGUAGCUAAUACCGCAUACCAUCGGAUGUGCCCAGCUGUGAUUAGCUAGUAGGUGGGGUAACGGCUCACCUAGGCGACGAUCCCUAGCUGGUCUGAGAGGAUGACCAGCCACACUGGAACGGAGACACGGUCCAGACUCCUACGGGAGUCAGCAGUGGGGAAUAUUGCACAAUGGGCGCAAGCCUGAUGCAGCCAUGCCGCGUGUAUGAAGAAGGCCUUCGGGUUGUAAAGUACUGUCAGCGGCGAGGCGUUACUCGAAGAAGAAGCACCGGCUAACUCCGUGCCAGCAGCCGCGGUAAUAC
rnacentral:rRNA from 1 species